UACGUAGGGGGCAAGCGUUGUCCGGAUUUAUUGGGCGUAAAGAGCGUGUAGGCGGCCAGGUAGGUCCGUUGUGAAAACUCGAGGCUCAACCUCGAGACGCCGAUGGAAACCAUCUGGCUGGAGUCCGGAAGAGGCGAGUGGAAUUCCUGGUGUAGCGGUGAAAUGCGCAGAUAUCGGGGAGGAACACCAGUAGCGAAGGCGGCUCGCUGGGCCACACCGUGACGCUGAGACGCGAAAGCUAGGGGAGCGAACAGG
rnacentral:rRNA from 1 species